rnacentral:rRNA from 1 species
UACGUAGGGUGCGAGCGUUAAUCGGAAUUACUGGGCGUAAAGCGUGCGCAGGCGGUUCUGAAAGUCAGCUGUGAAAGCCCCGGGCUUAACCUGGGAAUGGCGGUUGAAACUACAGGACUAGAAUCUGGCAGAGGGGGGUGGAAUUCCACGUGUAGCAGCGAAAUGCGUAGAGAUGUGGAGGAACACCGAUGGCGAAGGCAGCCCCCUGGGCUGAGAUUGACGCUCAGGCACGAAAGCGUGGGGAGCAAACAGG